rnacentral:misc_RNA from 1 species
AUCAUUAAUUUAGACUUAUAUACAAGACGAGCUACCUGACUGGGUAUUUUAAUUUUUGGCUAUAGAGAAACCUGACUAUCUUUUAAAAAUCCGUGAUAGUUUUACCUAAAUACCAAUAACAAUAACAAUAUAUGUAUAAAUUAAUCUAUCGUACUGUUUUCAUUAAGCACAGAUUAUAGCCAGUUAAAUUAAAGUGGCUAAAGUUUAAACAUACACAAAUGAAUGGGGAAUUUAUAUUCACUUAUGAUGAUUGAAUUAAAAGUGCUAACUCAUUUCGAGAUAAAAUCAUGGUAGGAAUUAAAAUUACUAUCGGCUAUCGUUUACUAUAAAACCCUCUUCAUCUUCAACUCGGGGGUAAAUUAAGUAACUACAA